rnacentral:tRNA from 1 species
GCAGUGGUGGUUCAGUGGUAGAACUCUUACCUUCCGGAAGAUCUGGGUUCAAUUUCUAGCCAGUGCA